GACGAACGCUGGCGGCGUGCCUAAUACAUGCAAGUUGAGCGAUGAAGAUUGGUGCUUGCACCAAUUUGAAGAGCAGCGAACGGGUGAGUAACGCGUGGGGAAUCUGCCUUUGAGCGGGGAACAACAUUUGGAAACGAAUGCUAAUACCGCAUAACAACUUUAAACAUAAGUUUUAAGUUUGAAAGAUGCAAUUGCAUCACUCAAAGAUGAUCCCGCGUUGUAUUAGCUAGUUGGUGAGGUAAAGGCUCACCAAGGCGAUGAUACAUAGCCGACCUGAGAGGGUGAUCGGCCACAUUGGGACUGAGACACGGCCCAAACUCCUACGGGAGGCAGCAGUAGGGAAUCUUCGGCAAUGGACGAAAGUCUGACCGAGCAACGCCGCGUGAGUGAAGAAGGUUUUCGGAUCGUAAAACUCUGUUGGUAGAGAAGAACGUUGGUGAGAGUGGAAAGCUCAUCAAGUGACGGUAACUACACAGAAAGGGACGGCUAACUACGUG
rnacentral:rRNA from 1 species